UACGUAGGGGGCAAGCGUUGUCCGGAUUUAUUGGGCGUAAAGCGCUCGCAGGUGGUUCGUCGCGUCGUGCGUGAAAGACCCCGGCUCAACUGGGGGGUGUCGUGCGAGUACGGGCGGACUGGAGGCCAGUAGGGGGAUGCGGAAUUCCGGGUGUAGUGGUGGAAUGCGUAGAGAUCCGGAGGAACACCAGCGGCGAAGGCGGCAUCCUGGACUGGUCCUGACACUCAUGAGCGAAAGCGUGGGGAGCGAGUCCGG
rnacentral:rRNA from 1 species